rnacentral:rRNA from 1 species
GAUGAACGCUGGCGGCGUGCCUAAUACAUGCAAGUCGAGCGAACAGACGAGGAGCUUGCUCCUCUGACGUUAGCGGCGGACGGGUGAGUAACACGUGGAGAACCUACCUAUAAGACUGAGAUAACUUAGGGAAACCGGAGCUAAUAUCGGAUAAUAUAUUGAACCGCAGGGAUCAAUAGUGAAAGACGGUUUUGCUGUCACGUAUAGAUAGAUCCCGGCCGAAUUAGCUAGUUGGGAAGCUAACGGCUUACGAAGGCAACGAUGCGUCGCCGACCCGAGAGCGUGCUCAGCCACCCGCGAACGGAGACACGGACCAGCCUCCUACGGGAGGCAGCAGUAGGCAAUCUUCUGCAGUAGGCGAAACCCUGACGAUGCAGCACGAGGUGAGAUGCCACAGUCCUCGGUUCGUGAUUCACGGUUCUCGGUGCGCAAAAAAUGUAAAUGAAAAUCUGGACGUUUUGACGGUAACUAAUAACGAAGCACCGGCUAACUACGUG